UAUUAUUUUUACCAGCUGUUUGCUGGUUUCUCACUUUGACAAUUUUCCUGUCCUUAAAUCGGAGCCACAAUUUCGCUAUCGAGGCAAUUUGCUCUGUUUUGACCCUACGUUGGACGUAUUUCAUCUAUAACCCAAUAUUCGCCAUUCCAUGCCGCGGAAAUUGGACAAUCGAUAGCCACCGCAAUAGCUCGAAUUACGAGUAAAAUUCACCAUCGGAUACGUUUUUUUUUCGGAUGGCACAGGGAUACCGAGUGAAAUUCGAGCAACCUUCGAGCCGCUCCCGUUCACGUUCGAACGGAGGAGGGAUACUCGUUGAAUACCAGCGAACGCACACGUGGAAUAGACGAGGGCUGAGAG
rnacentral:misc_RNA from 1 species